GGGCGUGUGGUCUAGUGGUAUGAUUCUCGCUUUGGGAGAUGAUCAAGUAUCUUGAUCAACAAAAUUCACAAGCAUGCGAGAGGCCCUGGGUUCAAUUCCCAGCUCGCCCC
rnacentral:tRNA from 1 species